rnacentral:rRNA from 1 species
GAUGAACGCUGGCGGCGUGCCUAAUACAUGCAAGUCGAGCGAACAGACGAGGAGCUUGCUCCUCUGACGUUAGCGGCGGACGGGUGAGUAACACGUGGAUAACCUACCUAUAAGACUGGGAUAACUUCGGGAAACCGGAGCUAAUACCGGAUAAUAUAUUGAACCGCAUGGUUCAAUAGUGAAAGACGGUUUUGCUGUAACUUAUAGAUGGAUCCGCGCCGCAUUAGCUAGUUGGUAAGGUAACGGCUUACCAAGGCAACGAUGCGUAGCCGACCUGAGAGGGUGAUCGGCCACACUGGAACUGAGACACGGUCCAGACUCCUACGGGAGGCAGCAGUAGGGAAUCUUCCGCAAUGGGCGAAGGCCUGCCGGAGCAACGCCGCGUGAGUGAUGAAGGUCUUCGGAUCGUAAACCUCUGUUAUUAGGGAAGAACAAAUGUGUAAGUAACUAUGCACGUCUUGACGGUACCUAAUCAGAAAGCCACGGCUAACUACGUG